rnacentral:rRNA from 1 species
AUACGGAGGGUGCAAGCGUUAUUCGGAAUCACUGGGCGUAAAGGACGCGUAGGCGGGUUGGCAAGUCAGAUGUGAAAUCCUACAGCUUAACUGUAGAACUGCAUUUGAAACUGCUAACCUAGCGUAUGGGAGGGGGAGAUGGAACUAGUGGUGUAGGGGUAAAAUCCGUAGAUAUCACUAGGAAUACCGAAAGCGAAGGCGAUCUCCUGGAACAUAACUGACGCUAAGGCGUGAAAGCGUGGGGAGCAAACAGGAUUAGAAACCCCAGUAGUCC